rnacentral:rRNA from 1 species
GUCGAGAAUUUUUCUCAAUGGGGGAAACCCUGAAGGAGCGACGCCGCGUGGAGGAUGAAGGUCUUCGGGUUGUAAACUCCUGUCAUUUGGGAACAAUGGUUACGCGUUAACUGCGCGUGACUUGAUAGUACCAGAAGAGGAAGAGACGGCUAACUCUGUGCCAGCAGCCGCGGUAAUACAGAGGUCUCAAGCGUUGUUCGGAUUCAUUGGGCGUAAAGGGUGCGUAGGCGGCGCGGUAAGUCGGGUGUGAAAUUUCGGAGCUUAACUCCGAAACUGCAUUCGAUACUGCCGUGCUUGAGGACUGGAGAGGAGACUGGAAUUUACGGUGUAGCGGUGAAAUGCGUAGAUAUCGUAAGGAAGACCAGUGGCGAAGGCGGGUCUCUGGACAGUUCCUGACGCUGAGGCACGAAGGCCAGGGGAGCAAACGGGAUUAGAAACCCUGGUAGUCC